rnacentral:piRNA from 1 species
UUUUUGACGCUACUAAUUUGU